rnacentral:rRNA from 1 species
UACGUAGGGGGCAAGCGUUGUCCGGAUUUAUUGGGCGUAAAGAGCGUGUAGGCGGCCUGAAAGGUCAGCUGUGAAAACUCGAGGCUCAACCUCGAGACGUCGGUUGAAACCAUCUGGCUAGAGUCCGGAAGAGGAGUGUGGAAUUCCCGGUGUAGCGGUGAAAUGCGCAGAUAUCGGGAAGAACACCGGUGGCGAAGGCGGCCUGCUGGGCAGUAGCUGACGCUGAGGCGCGACAGCGUGGGGAGCAAACAGG